rnacentral:ncRNA from 1 species
AAUGAGUUUUAUUCUUGCUUGAAAAUUUAUGUAAUCUAGAUUUUACAUGUUAAUUUUUGUGUGGAUAUUGAGUACUUAAAUAGUUUAGUUUUAUUCGCAGUAUUUAAUAUUAUAAAUUAAGGUGACUUAGAUUUAGUUUUAGAUUUUGGUUUUGGUUAAAUUCGUGCCAGCUACCGCGGUUAUACGAUGAAUAGUAGUAAAUUAUAUUAGUUUUGGAGUUAAUAUGUUUAUUUGGGAUGAUUGUUUUAUUUUUAGGGUAGAAUUUAUUAAUAUUUGGGGUUUCUGUAAAAAUUAUGAAGCUUUGAAACUUUUAGGAAUAAACUAGGAUUAGAUACCCUAUUAUUGAAAGUGUAAAUUAUUAAAAUUUGAGUAGUAGUAAAUAGGAUCUUGAAACUCAAAGAAUUUGGCGGUGUUUUAGUCUAUUCAGAGGAAUCUGUUCUAUAAUCGAUAAUUCACGAUUGGGUGAACUUAAUCUUUAGGAUUUGUAUACCGCCGUCAUCAGAAUAUUUUUGUAGAAAUUAAUUUUCUUAAUAUCUAAUUGGGUAAAAUGUCAGGUCAAGGUGCAGUUGAUGGUUAAGUAGAAAUGGGUUACAAUAAAAUUAUUUAUAUGGAGUUAGUUUUGAAGAUUUAAUGAAGGUGGAUUUGAUAGUAAUUAUAACUUAAAUUUUAUAAUGAUUUAAGCUCUAGAACAUGCACACAUCGCCCGUCGCUCUCAUUUAUUAAAUGAGAUAAGUCGUAACAAAGUAGGUGUACUGGAAAGUGUGCCUAGAAUGUC